GAUGAACGCUGGCGACGUGCCUAAUACAUGCAAGUAGAACGCUGAAGCUUGGUGCUUGCACCGAGCGGAUGAGUUGCGAACGGGUGAGUAACGCGUAGGUAACCUGCCUCUUAGCGGGGGAUAACUAUUGGAAACGAUAGCUAAUACCGCAUAAAAGUCGAUAUCGCAUGAUAUUUAGUUGAAAGGUGCAAUUGCAUCACUAAGAGAUGGACCUGCGUUGUAUUAGCUAGUUGGUGAGGUAACGGCUCACCAAGGCGACGUUACAUAGCCGAAAUGAGAGGGGGGUCGGCCCCACUGGGAGGGAGACAGGCCCCAGACGCACAGGGGUGCGACCAGUAGGGAUACGGGGGGAAAGGGGGGAACCCUGACCGAACAGGGCGGAGGGAGGAAGGAGGGUUUUCGGAUGGGAAAGCUCGGUUUUAGGGUAGGAACGGGGGUGAGCGGGGAAAGUACCGCCGGUGACGGUAAUGAACAAAAAAGGACCGGCUAACUACGU
rnacentral:rRNA from 1 species